UACGUAGGUGGCAAGCGUUGUCCGGAAUUACUGGGCGUAAAGGGUGCGUAGGCGGCCAAUAAAGUCAGAGGUGAAAGGCUACGGCUCAACCGUAGUAAGCCUUUGAAACUUAUUGGCUUGAGUGCAGGAGAGGAGAGUGGAAUUCCCAGUGUAGCGGUGAAAUGCGUAGAUAUUGGGAGGAACACCAGUGGCGAAGGCGACUUUCUGGCCUGUAACUGACGCUGAGGCGCGAAAGCGUGGGGAGCGAACAGG
rnacentral:rRNA from 1 species